rnacentral:rRNA from 1 species
UGAGGAAUAUUGGUCAAUGGGCGCGAGCCUGAACCAGCCAAGUAGCGUGAAGGAUGAAGGUCCUACGGAUUGUAAACUUCUUUUAUAAGGGAAUAAAGUCACCCACGUGUGGGUGUUUGUAUGUACCUUAUGAAUAAGCAUCGGCUAACUCCGUGCCAGCAGCCGCGGUAAUACGGAGGAUGCGAGCGUUAUCCGGAUUUAUUGGGUUUAAAGGGAGCGUAGACGGGCCGUUAAGUCAGCUGUGAAAGUUUGAGGCUCAACCUUAAAAUUGCAGUUGAUACUGGCGUCCUUGAGUACGGUUGAGGCAGGCGGAAUUCGUGGUGUAGCGGUGAAAUGCUUAGAUAUCACGAAGAACCCCGAUUGCGAAGGCAGCCUGCUAAACCGCCACUGACGUUGAGGCUCGAAAGUGUGGGUAUCAAACAGGAUUAGAUACCCUGGUAGUCCACACGGUAAACGAUGGAUACUCGCUGUUGGCGAUAGACUGUCAGCGGCUUAGCGAAAGCGUUAAGUAUCCCACCUGGGGAGUACGCCGGCAACGGUGAAACUCAAAGGAAUUGACGGGGGCCCGCACAAGCGGAGGAACAUGUGGUUUAAUUCGAUGAUACGCGAGGAACCUUACCCGGGCUUGAAUUGCAGACGAAUUGCUUGGAAACAGGCAAGCCGCAAGGCGUCUGUGAAGGUGCUGCAUGGUUGUCGUCAGCUCGUGCCGUGAGGUGUCGGCUUAAGUGCCAUAACGAGCGCAACCCUCGUGUCCAGUUACUAGCAGGUUAUGCUGAGGACUCUGGACAGACUGCCAUCGUAAGAUGUGAGGAAGGUGGGGAUGACGUCAAAUCAGCACGGCCCUUACGUCCGGGGCUACACACGUGUUACAAUGGGGGGUACAGCAGGCAGCUACCGGGCGACCGGAUGCCAAUCCCGAAAGCCUCUCUCAGUUCGGACUGGAGUCUGCAACCCGACUCCACGAAGCUGGAUUCGCUAGUAAUCGCGCAUCAGCCACGGCGCGGUGAAUACGUUCCC